UUUUAGCCCUGAUAGCAGUGAAAAUCCUUUCUAGUCCUGAACUUUUUCAGGACUAGAAAGAUUGUAACGAAUAGCAGGAAAUAGC
rnacentral:sRNA from 1 species